CUCCUCACAGGAGAGAGAGAGAGAGAGAGAAAAAAAACACAUCCAAGCCGUCUUUUAAUUAACGUCACUCCUCCACCCGCUUCAGGAUUCAACAUCGCAAGCCGAGCCUCCUUGGAGGGUACAAUACAGAUCUAUUGCAGCAUUCCUCAGAGUUGCACUCUAAACAGAACACUUCAUUCAAUGCCACAGACCAAGCAAAGUUAUCAACACAGAAAUCAUCUGAAAGAACAUCCCUGGCAUGCAAGCUGCAAAGCAUUACAAGUUAACAAUCCUCAAGAUAUCUUAGGGUUUGAGCCACAAGAUUGAGAGAUACUUGUUCUCACUGAUAUCUUCCAAUUUGUGACGGUGGAUUUCAAACUUCGACCAUGGAGACAUUCCUGGAAAGGGACCACCUGACCUACUUUCCAAAAGACAAUAAACGACACAAGGAAAACAGCAAUGUCAUUGGAGAAAAUUCUAGCAUUCAGACACUGCAAAAUCAUAAAUCAGAGAGAAAUCUUAAGCAUGCAAAUCACCCGGGACCUUCAAUUGUGCGGAAAUCUCAAUUUGAUAGUCACUCUGGUUCUUGCAGCACCACCACGUGGCAGGAAAUUGGUAACGCAAAUAAUUGCCGUCCCAUCAAAGGCAGCUCAACACACAAAAAAAUAAAACUUGCCUCAACUUCACUAAAUUGGCAUGGCAGUGUAGUGAGGAAAAUCUUCACGUCAAGAUCACAAUUUGGACUUACAUCUUAAGAUCAAGUGAAAACUCUUGGGUUGCCUGCACAUGAGAAAAAUGAUGUACAAUUUGCUCUCACACUGAAUGGAUUGAGAAACAGCCAAGCCAGGUUUGGACACACUCCUUUAUACCUCAUACACAUUUUCAAGUCUACCUCCCAGACUCGAAAGGAGACAGGUUGUGUGUUCUAUAAACGUAGCAAAUAAACUUCAAUAUUGAUAUAAUGCUGAAGUCAAUGCAAAAACUCUGACAAUUUGUUUCACAUAUUCCCGAGUUCAAAAUGUUAACAUUGAAAAUCCAUUCAAAAAAGAUACUUCAAUGUACAUCCUCUGGCAUCACAAAAGUAAAAUAAAGUGAUACUUCAUAA